rnacentral:rRNA from 1 species
GAUGAACGCUGGCGGCGUGCCUAAUACAUGCAAGUCGAGCAAACGGACGAGAAGCUUGCUUCUCUGAUGUUAGCGGCGGACGGGUGAGUAACACGUGGAUAACCUACCUAUAAGACUGGGAUAACUUCGGGAAACCGGAGCUAAUACCGGAUAAUAUUUUGAACCGCAUGGUUCAAAAGUGAAAGACGGUCUUGCUGUCACUUAUAGAUGGAUCCGCGCUGCAUUAGCUAGUUGGUAAGGUAACGGCUUACCAAGGCAACGAUGCAUAGCCGACCUGAGAGGGUGAUCGGCCACACUGGAACUGAGACACGGUCCAGACUCCUACGGGAGGCAGCAGUAGGGGAUCUUCCGCAAUGGGCGAAAGCCUGACGGAGCAACGCCGCGUGAGUGAUGAAGGUCUUCGGAUCGUAAAACUCUGUUAUUAGGGAAGAGCAUAUGUGUAAGUAACUGUGCACAUCUUGACGGUACCUAAUCAGAAAGCCACGGCUAACUACGUG